GGGUUGUGAGGUUAAGCGACUAAGCGUACACGGUGGAUGCCCUGGCAGUCAGAGGCGAUGAAGGACGUGCUAAUCUGCGAUAAGCGUCGGUAAGGUGAUAUGAACCGUUAUAACCGGCGAUUUCCGAAUGGGGAAACCCAGUGUGAUUCGUCACACUAUCAUUAACUGAAUCCAUAGGUUAAUGAGGCGAACCGGGGGAACUGAAACAUCUAAGUACCCCGAGGAAAAGAAAUCAACCGAGAUUCCCCCAGUAGCGGCGAGCGAACGGGGAGCAGCCCAGAGCCUGAAUCAGUGUGUGUGUUAGUGGAAGCGUCUGGAAAGGCGCGCGAUACAGGGUGACAGCCCCGUACACAAAAAUGCACAUACUGUGAGCUCGAUGAGUAGGGCGGGACACGUGGUAUCCUGUCUGAAUAUGGGGGGACCAUCCUCCAAGGCUAAAUACUCCUGACUGACCGAUAGUGAACCAGUACCGUGAGGGAAAGGCGAAAAGAACCCCGGCGAGGGGAGUGAAAAAGAACCUGAAACCGUGUACGUACAAGCAGUGGGAGCACGCUUAGGCGUGUGACUGCGUACCUUUUGUAUAAUGGGUCAGCGACUUAUAUUCUGUAGCAAGGUUAACCGAAUAGGGGAGCCGAAGGGAAACCGAGUCUUAACUGGGCGUUAAGUUGCAGGGUAUAGACCCGAAACCCGGUGAUCUAGCCAUGGGCAGGUUGAAGGUUGGGUAACACUAACUGGAGGACCGAACCGACUAAUGUUGAAAAAUUAGCGGAUGACUUGUGGCUGGGGGUGAAAGGCCAAUCAAACCGGGAGAUAGCUGGUUCUCCCCGAAAGCUAUUUAGGUAGCGCCUCGUGAAUUCAUCUCCGGGGGUAGAGCACUGUUUCGGCAAGGGGGUCAUCCCGACUUACCAACCCGAUGCAAACUGCGAAUACCGGAGAAUGUUAUCACGGGAGACACACGGCGGGUGCUAACGUCCGUCGUGAAGAGGGAAACAACCCAGACCGCCAGCUAAGGUCCCAAAGUCAUGGUUAAGUGGGAAACGAUGUGGGAAGGCCCAGACAGCCAGGAUGUUGGCUUAGAAGCAGCCAUCAUUUAAAGAAAGCGUAAUAGCUCACUGGUCGAGUCGGCCUGCGCGGAAGAUGUAACGGGGCUAAACCAUGCACCGAAGCUGCGGCAGCGACGCUUAUGCGUUGUUGGGUAGGGGAGCGUUCUGUAAGCCUGCGAAGGUGUGCUGUGAGGCAUGCUGGAGGUAUCAGAAGUGCGAAUGCUGACAUAAGUAACGAUAAAGCGGGUGAAAAGCCCGCUCGCCGGAAGACCAAGGGUUCCUGUCCAACGUUAAUCGGGGCAGGGUGAGUCGACCCCUAAGGCGAGGCCGAAAGGCGUAGUCGAUGGGAAACAGGUUAAUAUUCCUGUACUUGGUGUUACUGCGAAGGGGGGACGGAGAAGGCUAUGUUGGCCGGGCGACGGUUGUCCCGGUUUAAGCGUGUAGGCUGGUUUUCCAGGCAAAUCCGGAAAAUCAAGGCUGAGGCGUGAUGACGAGGCACUACGGUGCUGAAGCAACAAAUGCCCUGCUUCCAGGAAAAGCCUCUAAGCAUCAGGUAACAUCAAAUCGUACCCCAAACCGACACAGGUGGUCAGGUAGAGAAUACCAAGGCGCUUGAGAGAACUCGGGUGAAGGAACUAGGCAAAAUGGUGCCGUAACUUCGGGAGAAGGCACGCUGAUAUGUAGGUGAAGUCCCUCGCGGAUGGAGCUGAAAUCAGUCGAAGAUACCAGCUGGCUGCAACUGUUUAUUAAAAACACAGCACUGUGCAAACACGAAAGUGGACGUAUACGGUGUGACGCCUGCCCGGUGCCGGAAGGUUAAUUGAUGGGGUUAGCGCAAGCGAAGCUCUUGAUCGAAGCCCCGGUAAACGGCGGCCGUAACUAUAACGGUCCUAAGGUAGCGAAAUUCCUUGUCGGGUAAGUUCCGACCUGCACGAAUGGCGUAAUGAUGGCCAGGCUGUCUCCACCCGAGACUCAGUGAAAUUGAACUCGCUGUGAAGAUGCAGUGUACCCGCGGCAAGACGGAAAGACCCCGUGAACCUUUACUAUAGCUUGACACUGAACAUUGAGCCUUGAUGUGUAGGAUAGGUGGGAGGCUUUGAAGUGUGGACGCCAGUCUGCAUGGAGCCGACCUUGAAAUACCACCCUUUAAUGUUUGAUGUUCUAACGUGGACCCGUAAUCCGGGUUGCGGACAGUGUCUGGUGGGUAGUUUGACUGGGGCGGUCUCCUCCUAAAGAGUAACGGAGGAGCACGAAGGUUGGCUAAUCCUGGUCGGACAUCAGGAGGUUAGUGCAAUGGCAUAAGCCAGCUUGACUGCGAGCGUGACGGCGCGAGCAGGUGCGAAAGCAGGUCAUAGUGAUCCGGUGGUUCUGAAUGGAAGGGCCAUCGCUCAACGGAUAAAAGGUACUCCGGGGAUAACAGGCUGAUACCGCCCAAGAGUUCAUAUCGACGGCGGUGUUUGGCACCUCGAUGUCGGCUCAUCACAUCCUGGGGCUGAAGUAGGUCCCAAGGGUAUGGCUGUUCGCCAUUUAAAGUGGUACGCGAGCUGGGUUUAGAACGUCGUGAGACAGUUCGGUCCCUAUCUGCCGUGGGCGCUGGAGAACUGAGGGGGGCUGCUCCUAGUACGAGAGGACCGGAGUGGACGCAUCACUGGUGUUCGGGUUGUCAUGCCAAUGGCACUGCCCGGUAGCUAAAUGCGGAAGAGAUAAGUGCUGAAAGCAUCUAAGCACGAAACUUGCCCCGAGAUGAGUUCUCCCUGACCCUUUAAGGGUCCUGAAGGAACGUUGAAGACGACGACGUUGAUAGGCCGGGUGUGUAAGCGCAGCGAUGCGUUGAGCUAACCGGUACUAAUGAACCGUGAGGCUUAACCUUACAACGCCGAAG
rnacentral:rRNA from 1 species